CCCCUGGACAAAGACUGACGCUCAGGUGCGAAAGCGUGGGGAGCAAACUGGAUUAGAUACCCUGGUAGUCCACGCCGUAAACGAUGUCGAUUUGGAGGUUGUGCCCUUGAGGCGUGGCUUCCGGAGCUAACGCGUUAAAUCGACCGCCUGGGGAGUACGGCCGCAAGGUUAAAACUCAAAUGAAUUGACGGGGGCCCGCACAAGCGGUGGAGCAUGUGGUUUAUUUCGAUGCAACGCGAAGAACCUUACCUGGUCUUGACAUCCACAGAACUUAGCAGAGAUGCUUUGGUGCCUUCGGGAACUGUGAGACAGGUGCUGCAUGGC
rnacentral:rRNA from 1 species